CACAGGGAGAAGAUGAUGUGCAUCAUCCUGCUGCUCAUCAACCUGACCUCCUGUGUCUGUGGAACAUUUGUAGUCAAUGUGACACAGACCUCCUAUCAGGCAGAGGAGAACCACAACAUCACACUGGAGUGGAUGUUCACAAUCUUAAUCAUCACGCCCCUUAACUCUUUAACUAUCUAUUGUGAGAUGGUAAAUAAUCUCAGAGCCUCAGGUCUGUUUCAUCUACAUGGAGGUGUUGAGGUCCCAGAGUCUCAGGAUGAACAGUUUACAGGACGAGUCCAGUGUGACAAAGACGUCCUCAGAGAGGGACGACUCAGACUUCAUGUGUCCAGACUCAGGACUGAUGACUCGGGUGUGUACGUGUGUCAAGUGGUCACACAUAAUGAUGUCAACUUCAGUGAACGCUACCUCAGUGUCACUGCAGCGAGGGAGCGGCCCAAACCUGAGACACCAAACAUAGCAAGUGGACAGCAACCAGCUGCAGCUCUGCUGGGUCUUUGUGUCUGUUUAUUCAUACACUUUCUGUUUAGAGAAUAAGAUUUCUGCACCAGUGUUGGGUUUGAGAGUAUUAACAGCUCAGCACGUGGAUCAGUGGAAAUAGUUUGAUCAAAUAUUGCAACCAGACCAAACUGUUAGAAUUAAAUUAAUUCCUCAUUAAUUUAAUAAGCUAUUAUGCAUUUUGCAGUGAAGUUUGCUCGCAUACAAAGCCUGAGAUUUUUAAAACUGCUGAUGGCAAACUGAUAGUGAAAGAUGAAUUUCCCAGCACUCUUGUUAUCAAAUGACAACACUCAGUCAGGAUGAACUCAUUAUACUGGCCAUGCAUAACUUUUCCUCUGCGUGGAUAGAAGAGUCUAAGAAGCUUCUCUUUGAAGUUUGUCUGCAAAAGACUCAACACAGUGUUUUGCACCAGGGCCCUCAGAGGGAUAAAACAUAAGGCCAAGACGUGCCUGAUAUGGGGUGUCGUUGGUAAAGUGGCUCACACUGAAAUGAACAGCAACCUUAUGUUAGCAUGACAUUUUCUUUUGUGUGUUGUAACGUUACGAUGUCCAGUGGUCCAAAACAAAACUAAUGUGCUAUGCGUUAAGUACAUUGAUGCUAGUAGCAAAUCUCUACUGGGCUAACGUUAGCUAGUUUCAUAUAGCUCAGCCAGACUCCAUCCUAUCUGUUUUAUUAGUGCCUGUUAUUAAGGACGAAGCUGGCAAAGUAAAUAGCAUGUGAAACUAUAGGCCUUUAGCCUUAGCAAGCAUUAUGUCUAAAGUGCUGCAGACGAUCCUCCUGAGCAGGCUGGAAAACUACAUCACUACCAGUUUGGUUUCAAACGUUAACAUGACACUGACGUGUAUUUUUGCUUUAAAGGAAAAUUUGGAUCAAUAAUCGUCAGAACUCAACAGUGUUGAUGUGCUUUAUAGAUGCUCUGGCUUUAAAUCUGUCCUCUGCACUUUGUACUGCUGCGACUAUGUGCGGCUGUUGAUGCAGUAUUACGCAUUGAAAUGUGUUGCUUGUUUUUUCUUUAAACUACGUAUUGUAUUUAUCAUAGGCUUUUAGGCUAUUUAAUUAUUUAUCAUAGGUCUAUCUUAGAUGUUCAAAUCUGCAGGGCUUAAAGUACUCAGGCGUGGCGCCGGAUUUCCAGCUUGACGGACAUUUCUAGUAUUUUAACAACUUGGCAUAAGUUAGCAUUUAACGAAUCAUCUUCUGAUUUUCAGUGAAAAUCAAACUCAGCUGGCCAAUAAGAGCUGAGUGGGGAGGGUCUAAAAACAGCACACACACAUACACACACACACGGACAGGGUUUCAACACACACUACUUCCAAGCACAUGUUGUUUAGCUGUCCGUCACAGCCUGAUAUCCAAAUGAGUGUGGGUGAAUGUGCAACAGAAAUGGACCACUGAACUACGCUUGUGUUAGCUUGACCGCCAGCUGUCGGACACUGAGAGGAAACAGCAUGCCGUGCAGUGGUUCCCCUGUAUGCAACUAGCAGUGGUUCAGGGCUGCUGCUGAAAUAUGACCGCCGCUGCUGAUUUCUUUUUUUUUUCCCUGUCUUAGCACUUUAACCGUUAUUAUUUGGCGCUACAGACGCUUCAUAUCCAGGUCCAUUCACACACUUGUGAGUAAAGCAUAUAAGAGGAGAGGAGAGGGCUCCGUCUGAUCUCUUCAUGAACUAAAGUCAUUAUUUUAUGCCACUGACACUUCAUAUAAUAACAUAGCAAUAUACUAUUUAUCGUGUUCAGCCAGUGUUGCAUUCAGGCGUUGUCACGUAAAUAACAACUUCCAGCACUUAAAUAGGUCAUAGCACAGAACAGCAGCAUGUCAAGUGAUUUUUUACUUUAUUAUGUUCACUAAAAUUGUAUGUUCCUAAAUCUUAAGACCUCAUAUGUAAGCUAGACAGACAUUUCACCUGCUCAUUACUGUGCACACAUGUACUGUAUGUACUUAGUCCUGGUCUGGUAUAGAGAUUGUUGUAUAUAUUUUUAUAUCUUUGUAUAUGUAUUAUUCAUUGUCACUGUCUUUCAGUUUUCUUUGAUCAUGUGACCCAUCAUGUUACCCCACUGGCGUCCCUUUAAAAAUGGCGUCCUAGAUGUAUGUCUCAUGUCUGAAGAAGAGCGUUUGGCUCGAAACGUCACACACAGUAUUUUUGAAAUGUGCUAAAGAAAUGCACGUAAACUGGGAGCAUCAAGUGUGCGGACUAUCCUUCUUGACUUUAUGUAUGUUUUUUGGUCCAGCACCUAUUUAAUACCUCUUCCGAGGACGACUGAUAAAGAUUGCCGCAGUGCAAAAGAUGUACACCCCCCAAGAUUCAGGUCUCAGGCUCAGGAAAAUUUUUCACUUUCAGCCCUGUAAUCUGUACGCUGCUGAACCUGGGUAACGAAUUUUGUUCCCUUGUGUUUUUUAACGUGUUUGAAUGACAAUAAACUGAAGUUUGAGCCUUAAUGAGAUUAAAUAUCUCGGCCACUAUAUUGUCAAUAAUCUAUCUGAUGAUAAAGAUGUCCACAGAUAGUGUGACAAAUUAUAGGCUAUACACAAGCUAAUACGCUUGCUUGCAAAUUUAGUAAGUGUACAUUUGAUGUAAAGAUAGCUCUUUGUAGAGCAUUUUGUACCCUGCUGUACAGUAUACCGCCCACUUGGUGCUCCUAUAGGAAGAGCAGCAUGAGCUUAAUGACUUGCAGAGAAAGGUAUUUGCCAAAGUAUUAUUUAAACUGCCCAUCUUUGUUUAAAUUACAAACAGAUAAGCCAAGUUAUUUGUAAACUAGGUGUGUGCCAUUGUUCUGUUUUAUUGUGUGUAAUGUUUGCACUCUGUACCACGUGAUAUGGUCUUGAGUCAAAUAAAUGAAAAGAUUGAAACUGUAGUGACACAGACGAAGUGAUUUACUGCCCUUUAAAGAAAAGCUCUACUGUAGUUGUGAACACUGGUGUUGAUGAUAGAGAGCAGCAGAGGGAGCUCUUUACUGAAGUCAGGUUGUUUAGAAAUGCUCACCUGUCUGCACAGGUGUGAUCAUUUAAAUGUUCCUGAUGAUCACAAACACCUCCUGCUGUUAGUUUAUCUGAGAGAUUUGCUCUAAAUGUUUCCAUCAGUGCCACGUGACCUGUGAUCUGAUUAUUUUGUCAAACACUGCAGUGUGUCUUUUGGUACAUCAGUUUAACAAAUAAAGAUGUUCAACUGGACGAA